GAAUGUUAGAAUAUGUGGCCUUUUUAUAAUUGAAUAAGAUAUAUAAUAGAAUAACUAAUUGGGUUCCGUUGCGAUAUUUUAGCCAAUAUAAACUAAGUCCAGAAUUCAGUUAUUCUCCUCGACUCUCUCCCCAAAACCCUCUCCCCAAAUCCAUCAAACUGUGUGAUCCUGUGAAAGAUAGGAAGAGAGGAGAAAGGGUCUACUCUUCGCACUCCCUGCAGAUUCCGCAACGCGAUCGGAUUAAAGACGGAGCCUGCAGCAAUCUUGGAUCACGGUGCUGAGCAGAUCAAACAAGAUCUCUGAACGGAUGGCAUCAAAAGGCAAGCACCACAAAUCACUGCCCUUGGCGCCGAUCGGUCUGAGGAGCUAGCCAAGGACUUGGGAAUCAUCAUUAGUUAACAAAACAAGAUCAUACAUCAAAUCCUGCUGAGGUUCUCAAAUCAAUGUGAUAAGUUUUUCAGCGAGAGUUAGCAGAAUCAGCAUCCAAGCUGCAUCAGAAAGUGGCAGAACUAGAGAGCAAUAGAUUGGAAAACAUGAAACAAGAAAAGGUUUGGAAGAAGCACAGUUUGAGCAGUGACAAACAGAUGGUUCCUGACAAUGGUACCAAAUGAUAUCUAACAAGGCUCCGUCGACCGUAUCGUCGAUGGUUUUAAGGGCUUCGUUGAGGAAGCGCUGCGGGUUGACGCUGGAGGCAUCGAAUGGUGCUAUGCUCCAUCGACAUUUUGAGCCCCCU